AACGUAGGAGACGAGCGUCAUCCGGAUUUACUGGGCGUAAAGCGCGUGCAGGCGGCUUGGCAAGUUGGAUGUGAAAUCUCCCGGCUCAACUGGGAGGGGUCGUUCAAAACUACCGAGCUAGAGGAUGGUAGAGGAAGGUGGAAUUCCCGGUGUAGUGGUGAAAUGCGUAGAUAUCGGGAGGAACACCAGUGGCGAAGGCGGCUACCUGGACCGAUAUUGACGCUGAGACGCGAAAGCGUGGGUAGCAAACAGG
rnacentral:rRNA from 1 species